AUACGUAGGUGACAAGCGUUAUCCGGAUUUACUGGGCGUAAAGGGCGUGUGGGCGGUCUUGCAAGUCAGAAGUGAAAUUCCUGAGCUCAACUCGGGCGCUGCUUCUGAAACUGCAGGACUUGAGUGCUGGAGGGGAUAGCGGAAUUCCUAGUGGAGCGGUAAAAUGCGCAGAUAUUAGGAAGAACACCGGUGGCGAAGGCGGCUAUCUGGACAGUAACUGACGCUGAGGCGCGAAAGCGUGGGGAGCAAACAGGAUUAGAUACCCUGGUAGUCCACACUGUAAACGAUGAAUGCUAGGUGUAGGGGGUAUCGACCCCUUCUGUGCCGCAGUCAACACAAUAAGCAUUCCGCCUGGGGAGUACGGCCGCAAGGUUGAAACUCAAAUGAAUUGACGGGG
rnacentral:rRNA from 1 species